rnacentral:rRNA from 1 species
GAGUUUGAUCAUGGUUCAGGAUGGACGCUGGCGGCGUGCUUAACACAUGCAAGUCGAACGAAGCGCCUUAUUUGAUUUUCUUCGGAACUGAAGAUUUGGUGACUGAGUGGCGGACGGGUGAGUAACGCGUGGGUAACCUGCCCUGUACAGGGGGAUAACAAUCAGAAAUGACUGCUAAUACCGCAUAAGACCACAGCACCGCAUGGUGCAGGGGUAAAAACUCCGGUGGUACAGGAUGGACCCGCGUCUGAUUAGCUGGUUGGUGAGGUAACGGCUCACCAAGGCGACGAUCAGUAGCCGGCUUGAGAGAGUGAACGGCCACAUUGGGACUGAGACACGGCCCAAACUCCUACGGGAGGCAGCAGUGGGGAAUAUUGCACAAUGGGGGAAACCCUGAUGCAGCAACGCCGCGUGAGUGAAGAGUAUUUCGGUAUGUAAAGCUCUAUCAGCAGGGAAGAAAGUGACGGUACCUGACUAAGAAGCCCCGGCUAACUACGUGCCAGCAGCCGCAGUAA